rnacentral:rRNA from 1 species
UGAUCAUGGCUCAGAGCGAACGCUGGCGGCAGGCCUAACACAUGCAAGUCGAACGGACCCUUCGGGGUUAGUGGCGGACGGGUGAGUAACACGUGGGAACGUGCCUUUAGGUUCGGAAUAGCUCCUGGAAACGGGUGGUAAUGCCGAAUGUGCCCUUCGGGGGAAAGAUUUAUCGCCUUUAGAGCGGCCCGCGUCUGAUUAGCUAGUUGGUGGGGUAAUGGCCCACCAAGGCUACGAUCAGUAGCUGGUCUGAGAGGAUGACCAGCCACAUUGGGACUGAGACACGGCCCAAACUCCUACGGGAGGCAGCAGUGGGGAAUCUUGCGCAAUGGGCGAAAGCCUGACGCAGCCAUGCCGCGUGUAUGAUGAAGGUCUUAGGAUUGUAAAAUACUUUCACCGGUGAAGAUAAUGACUGUAGCCGGAGAAGAAGCCCCGGCUAACUUCGUGC